rnacentral:rRNA from 1 species
GAAUGCUGACAUAAGUAACGAUAAAGCGGGUGAAAAGCCCGCUCGCCGGAAGACCAAGGGUUCCUGUCCAACGUUAAUCGGGGCAGGGUGAGUCGACCCCUAAGGCGAGGCCGAAAGGCGUAGUCGAUGGGAAACAGGUUAAUAUUCCUGUACUUGGUGUUACUGCGAAGGGGGGACGGAGAAGGCUAUGUUGGCCGGGCGACGGUUGUCCCGGUUUAAGCGUGUAGGCUGGUUUUCCAGGCAAAUCCGGAAAAUCAAGGCUGAGGCGUGAUGACGAGGCACUACGGUGCUGAAGCAACAAAUGCCCUGCUUCCAGGAAAAGCCUCUAAGCAUCAGGUAACAUCAAAUCGUACCCCAAACCGACACAGGUGGUCAGGUAGAGAAUACCAAGGCGCUUGAGAGAACUCGGGUGAAGGAACUAGGCAAAAUGGUGCCGUAACUUCGGGAGAAGGCACGCUGAUAUGUAGGUGAAGCGACUUGCUCGUGGAGCUGAAAUCAGUCGAAGAUACCAGCUGGCUGCAACUGUUUAUUAAAAACACAGCACUGUGCAAACACGAAAGUGGACGUAUACGGUGUGACGCCUGCCCGGUGCCGGAAGGUUAAUUGAUGGGGUUAGCGCAAGCGAAGCUCUUGAUCGAAGCCCCGGUAAACGGCGGCCGUAACUAUAACGGUCCUAAGGUAGCGAAAUUCCUUGUCGGGUAAGUUCCGACCUGCACGAAUGGCGUAAUGAUGGCCAGGCUGUCUCCACCCGAGACUCAGUGAAAUUGAACUCGCUGUGAAGAUGCAGUGUACCCGCGGCAAGACGGAAAGACCCCGUGAACCUUUACUAUAGCUUGACACUGAACAUUGAGCCUUGAUGUGUAGGAUAGGUGGGAGGCUUUGAAGUGUGGACGCCAGUCUGCAUGGAGCCGACCUUGAAAUACCACCCUUUAAUGUUUGAUGUUCUAACGUUGGCCCCUGAUCGGGGUUGCGGACAGUGUCUGGUGGGUAGUUUGACUGGGGCGGUCUCCUCCUAAAGAGUAACGGAGGAGCACGAAGGUUGGCUAAUCCUGGUCGGACAUCAGGAGGUUAGUGCAAUGGCAUAAGCCAGCUUGACUGCGAGCGUGACGGCGCGAGCAGGUGCGAAAGCAGGUCAUAGUGAUCCGGUGGUUCUGAAUGGAAGGGCCAUCGCUCAACGGAUAAAAGGUACUCCGGGGAUAACAGGCUGAUACCGCCCAAGAGUUCAUAUCGACGGCGGUGUUUGGCACCUCGAUGUCGGCUCAUCACAUCCUGGGGCUGAAGUAGGUCCCAAGGGUAUGGCUGUUCGCCAUUUAAAGUGGUACGCGAGCUGGGUUUAGAACGUCGUGAGACAGUUCGGUCCCUAUCUGCCGUGGGCGCUGGAGAACUGAGGGGGGCUGCUCCUAGUACGAGAGGACCGGAGUGGACGCAUCACUGGUGUUCGGGUUGUCAUGCCAAUGGCACUGCCCGGUAGCUAAAUGCGGAAGAGAUAAGUGCUGAAAGCAUCUAAGCACGAAACUUGCCCCGAGAUGAGUUCUCCCUGAGACUUUAAGUCUCCUGAAGGAACGUUGAAGACGACGACGUUGAUAGGCCGGGUGUGUAAGCGCAGCGAUGCGUUGAGCUAACCGGUACUAAUGAACCGUGAG